UACGGGGGGAGCAAGCGUUGUUCGGAUUUACUGGGCGUAAAGGGCGCGUAGGCGGUCAGCACAAGUCAGUUGUGAAAUCUCCGGGCUUAACUCGGAAAGGUCAACUGAUACUGUGCGACUAGAGUGCAGAAGGGGCAACUGGAAUUCUCGGUGUAGCGGUGAAAUGCGUAGAUAUCGGAAGGAACACCAGUGGCGAAGGCGACUGUCUGGGCCAAUACUGACACUGAGGUACGAAAGCGUGGGUAGCGAACAGG
rnacentral:rRNA from 1 species